rnacentral:rRNA from 1 species
UGCGGAGGGGGCGAGCGUUAUUCGGAAUUAUUGGGCGUAAAGGGCGCGUAGGCGGCUGUACAAGUCAAAGGUGAAAUCCCUCGGCUCAACUGAGGAACUGCCUUUGAAACUGUACGGCUCGAGUCCGGGAGAGGGGGGUGGAAUUCCCAGUGUAGCGGUGAAAUGCGUAGAUAUUGGGAGGAACACCGGUGGCGAAGGCGGCCCCCUGGACCGGUACUGACGCUGAGGCGCGAAAGCGUGGGGAGCAAACAGG